rnacentral:rRNA from 1 species
GAUGAACGCUGGCGGCGUGCCUAAUACAUGCAAGUCGAGCGAACGGACGAGAAGCUUGCUUCUCUGAUGUUAGCGGCGGACGGGUGAGUAACACGUGGAUAACCUACCUAUAAGACUGGGAUAACUUCGGGAAACCGGAGCUAAUACCGGAUAAUAUUUUGAACCGCAUGGUUCAAAAGUGAAAGACGGUCUUGCUGUCACUUAUAGAUGGAUCCGCGCUGCAUUAGCUAGUUGGUAAGGUAACGGCUUACCAAGGCAACGAUGCAUAGCCGACCUGAGAGGGUGAUCGGCCACACUGGAACUGAGACACGGUCCAGACUCCUACGGGAGGCAGCAGUAGGGAAUCUUCCGCAAAGGGCGAAAGCCUGACGGAGCAACGCCGCGUGAGUGAUGAAGGGCUUCGGAUCGUAAAACUCUGUUAUUAGGGAAGAACAUAUGUGUAAGUAACUGUGCACAUCUUGACGGUACCUAAUCAGAAAGCCACGGCUAACUACGUG